UGUGAUUGGUCCGUUCGGUUUAGGGGCGUGGCUUGGGGUUUUCCGGGAAGUCCCUUCUGUUUAACAACACUCAGCUUCGACUGCACCUGAAGAAAUUCAAAUAACACACUUUAUCGACUUAUUACAAGUGUGAGGUCCGCCGUUGGCCACGUCCCAAUCCGACACACUCCCAUGAACACAGCAUACCUGUUUAGUGUGGUAGUAAGCGGUUUGUAAUGGCUAUAUUCAGUGACUGCUCUGUGGUUCUGGACCUGAAAAAUGUCCCCUUUAAGGAGAGGAAGAAGCUGAUGACUGCUAUAUUAGACAAUGGAGGAGACAUAUCUUAUGUAGUGAACCAGAAAUGUUCAUUUGUGGUUGCGACCAGCCUGGAGAACAUAAGCAGCAGCAGAUGGAGGAGUGCUCAGAAACACCAGACACCAGUGGUCAGCGUGCAGUAUGUGUGGAGCUGCCUGGAGAAAGGACUGCUGCUGCCUGUCCAAGAGCAUGUCUUAGAGCCACAAACUCCACACCCUGCAGAGCUGAAGUUCAGAGGUCAGCCUCAGUCCCAAAACAGUGGCAUUCAUGAUGAGAAAGCCGAGAUUCAGGUGAAGGAUGGCACGUACCUGGGCCGGUUCAGAUUAUUCAAGGAAAAUGAUGAUGAUAUGCCAGAAUUUUCUUCAGAUUUCCAAGUUGCCAAGUACUCCGUUUUGGUCAAGGCUCAGCCAAAAACAUGGUCAAUUCUGGAGCUUCAGAGUGCCAAAGGCCAAGCAGGACAGCAAUAUCGUGUUGUGAGCUCCAUCAUGCAUGAGGCAGAGAAGAGUGUAGUGUGGGAUAAGCAGGUGCACAGCUGUAGCUCUGAGGAUGCUGUGGAGGCGUAUCUGAUGCUGAUAAAGGAGCUGCAGGUCCAAGGUUUUACUCCGACACAAACACUUCCCGUAUGGGCUGAAAAGCUGACCUCUCACAGCCUCCAGCAGCUUCUGCUGGAGGAGAAGCUGAACUGCAGCACAAUCUCACAGGAAGUGGCCGUCUUUGUGGAGCUCAUCUGGACAGAAGCUCUCGGUUCACUUAGCAAUAUCCUGACCAUCCCCGUUACCAGCAUCAGUCUCAAUGAUGUGAGCAGAGUGGAAGGAUUACUGCUGCAGGUACAGAAGAGUCAGUGUGAGGACGAAGUCAAGGGUCUGCUGGAGGAAGUCAACACGCUGCUACCUCUUAGAAUAAGAGAGCCAGACUCAAAAAACAAGCUGGUCUCCCAGAAACUAGAUCUCUGUCAGCUGAUCAGAGAUAUUCUGAACAUGACGGAGGUGACUUUGGGAAACCCCUGUCCAUCCUCUCUGGGGAAAUAUCGUGCUCUGAGGUGCAGUAUUGAGCAGGUGCCAUCUCAAAGCCCAGAGUUCCAGUCUGUCUGCCAGCUUCUGCAGGAUAGGCCAGCUCAGAUCCAGCAGAUACUGCGUGUGAGUAGAGGGACAGAGCUUCAUAUGUUUAAGAAUGAACUUGGCAACAUUAAGCCUCUCCUCCAUUCCACUGCUUCCAGCAGCCUGGUAGGAAUCCUGUCUCGGGGUCUGUUACUGCCCAGGGUCGGAGUAGAGCAGCAUGGGAUUGACAGAACAGACAUUGGGAAUCUGGGAAGUGGCAUCUACUUCAGUGACUCAUUAAACACGUCAGUCAAGUAUUCCAAACCCAGUGUGACUGAUGGCUGUCGGCUACUGCUGGUGUGUGAGGUGGCUCUGGGCCAGUGUAAAGACCUGCACAAAAGGGAUUUCAAGUUGACCUCUGCCCCUGAGGGCUACAACAGCGUGCACGGAGUCCGCCGUACACAAAAUACACAAUCUGACUUUGAGGAUGAUGAAUAUGUGGUGUAUAACACAGACCAGAUCAGGCUGAAAUAUGUAGUUCAGUAUCUUCUAACCGAGGAUGAAGUGAAGGACUUUCAGCCUCAUGUUGACACGACUCUAGCACCUCCACAUUUUGCUUCAUCUUCUCACCUCUGGUCCAGUGAUGACGGUGAGGAUUUGGGAGUGACUAAGAACCCUCUGGAGGAGGUCACUGCUGGUUUAUUGGACAGUAAUGGUCAGACGCUCCCCCUGCAGGCUGUACAUGUGAGAUGUAAGCUAAUGGACCUUCUCUCUCAGGUUGUCAUUUUCCAGACAUACACAAAUAACAGCAGUGUUCCUAUUGAGGCAAAAUAUGUCUUCCCUCUAGAAGAGACAGCAGCAGUGUGUGGUUUUGAAGCCUUCAUUAAUGGAAAGCAUGUUAUUGGAAAGGUAAAGGAGAAGGAGCAGGCGCGUAAAGAAUACAAGCAAGCUAUAGAGAAAGGCCAUGGAGCCUACCUGAUGGACCAGGAUGCACCUGAUGUGUUCACCAUCAGUGUGGGAAACCUGCCCCCUGGAGCCACAGUGCUGAUCAAAGUGACGUUCAUCACUGAGCUGGUUGUGAGAGCAGGCACCAUCAUCUUCUCCCUGCCAGGCAGUGUGGCUCCAUGGCAGCAAAGCUCAGCACUGAACCAGAGAACCCAGACCACUGUUGAAAAGGUCUGUGUGAACGAGCUUCAGCCAGAGGGAGAAUUCUCUCUGUGCAUGUCUAUUGAGAUGCCUUAUGAGAUCAUUAACUUGGAGUGCUCUCAUCAGAUCAAAAUCAAGAGGACAGAUUGUAAAGCCGUAGUGAGCACAUUACCAGACCAGACGCUCAGCACUGACGGCUUCCGGCUCAGCUUUACUCUGUUUCAGAUCCAUAUGCCCAGGAUGUGGGUGGAGAAACAUCCAGAGAAGGACACUGAGGCCUGCAUGUUGGUGUUUUAUCCACACUUUGAGUCCAGUGGCGUUUCUUUGUCGGAUGUAAGUGAUGUGAUCAUUGUGCUGGAUACGUCGGAGUCCAUGCGAGGAGAUGCAAUGCUGAACGCACGCAGGAUUGCGCUGAAGGUGCUCAACUCACUGGACCGUUCACUAAGAGUCAAUAUCAUCUCCUUUGGCUCUGAUUACAAAGAGGCCUUCCCUUCACCAAAUUUGCUAGAGGAGGUAUUUGAAGAAGCCAAGAACUUCAUUAAGUCCUCGGAUGCUGUUGGCGGCAGCACUGAGCUAUGGAGACCUCUGCGCACCCUGAAUCUGCUGCCUCCUUCACGUGGUGUGAGAAACGUGUUGCUUAUCUCUGAUGGACAUGUCCAGAACCAGCCUCAAACCCUGCAGCUGGUGCGAGACAAUGUCAGACACACACGCUUCUUCACCUGCGGCCUCAAUCUAACAGCUAAUCGUUAUAUGCUGAGAGCCCUGGCUCAGGCAGGUGGAGGAACUUAUGAGUUUUUUGACACAAAGACAAAGCACACCUGGGCUGAGAAGGUGAAUUCUCAGGUAAGGUGCAUGGUAUCACCAGGCUGCAGUUCUGUGGCAGUUAAGUGGCAGCAGUUCAACCCCACAGCUCCCUCUCCUGUUCAGGCUCCCUCACAGCUCCACGCUCUCUUCAGUGACUGUCACACUCUGGUCUACGGCUUUGUCCCACACUGCACUCAGGCCACUCUGUUUGGUGAUCUGAGUGGGCAGGAAAUUGAGACCAUGGUUUCUACUACAGAAUUACAGAAGACUAAAGGAACAUUCCUUCACAAGCUAACAGCAAGAGCAAUCAUCAGAGACUAUGAGGAUGGCAGCCUUGGCUCUAAUGAGGCAGAACAUGAGGGGAAGAAAGCAGAGCUAAAAUCCUACAUCAUCGAGCUCAGUAAAGAGUUCUCCAUCCUGUCCCAGUUCACCAGCUUUGUUGCCAUUGAAGAGAGAGACCAGGAACAGCUUGACUCCGGUUUUACUGACAUCCCUAAAAUAAUUGCAGAGGAAGAUGUGGAUAUUCUCUCUUAUAUGGGCUGGACCGAACAGAAACAGUGGAGUCAAGAGUUACAAUAUUGCCUUCUGGAAGACGUUUCUGAAGGAUCCUCACAGCACUCUUUAAACCUGUGUUCUGCUGCAGAAGACAGAUUUAAUGUAUAUGCUGAUAAAGAUGAAUACAGUGAAAGUGAGUCAUCAUUAAUGGGAAGUUGCCUUGAGUCACUAUUAAUGGCAGCUGACGAUCUCCCUUCUGAGCAUGAGACAGUUUUUGAAGCUUCUCCCUGCAGAGCGUCCACAGAUACAGACGAAUAUACACACUCAUCUCGUCCACCUCUGCAGAGAAAAUUCUCCUCACGAUCAAACAUUAAAGCUAAAGCUUUAAUGCGGUCCAGGGCCCGGGUUAACAUGGCACCCAUGUCUUCAGAAUUUGCCCUCCGUAAGGAACCUUCAGGAACUUCUCUUAUUUGUCCUCCCAAAAACAUGAUGGAAGAAGGCAAUGCCCUCUCUGAUGCUCUCUCUUCUCCCAGAGGACAUGCCUCUGCUAGACUCAGCAUGCCUGCAGCUAAUUGUCUUGCAGCUCAUGAUGUUGAUUCUGCUUUUGCUCGCAUUACCUCAGCUACUUUUGAUGCCCUUAAUCUUAGUGCUGUAAGCAGUUCUUCCAUUCAGUCCACCCAGGGAUUUUCUUCUCCUCCCAGUAUUGGUUUUAAAGUCCCUCCUCCCCCUCCUCCUUUUUGUUUAGGAGCAUCUCCUCUUCCUCCUCUCGUCUAUGGCAGUGCCCCUGCUCCUCCUCCUAGUGAUAGUAUGGGUUUCCAAGCUCCUCCUCUUCCUAGUGCUGUUUUUGGAGCCGCUCCUCUUAAUCUUAAUUUUGGAGUCUCUCCCCCUCCCAGUGAUAGUUUCACAGCAACUCCUCCUCCUAGUCUUCUUUUCGGAGCUGCUGCUUUUCGUCCAUCUAGUAUUGGGUUUGGACCCCCUCCUCCACCUCCUAGUGUUAUUUUUGGAGACCCUCCCUCUCCUGCUGGAUUCAGAUCUUCAGCUUUUCCUCCCCUUCCUCCCCUUCCUCAUAGUAUUUGUUUUAGAGACAUUCCUUAUUUUUCUAGUGUUGAUUUCGAAGAACCUGCUCCUCCUCCUCCUAGUGCUGGUUUUCGUGUUGGAGCCCUUGCUCGUUCUGUUGUAGCUGAUACUCCUUCUUCUGGUCCUUUUUCCAAAAGUGGCUCCCUACCUGUUGAGGCAGUAGCUGAAAUGGGCAUCAGUUCAGCAGGUUUAGGCUUUCCCAAAGCUCAGAAUCAAUUCUUAAGUAGGGCCAUGAAAAGAAGAGUACAAAAAUGCAGUUUUGAAUCAUUCAGUGCUAAGAGCCACAGCACAGUUCCUCUUGAGGAAACAGAGAGCUACCAAGUGCAGACAGACAGCAUAAGUGAACGAUACAGACGACCUGACAGAAUCAACUGGGAGGAGCUGUUUAACCUUCAACACCAGGAUGGCUAUUGGGAAUGUACUGGGACGCUAAGUAGAUUCCUGGGCCUGGAUGUAGACUUCUUUGCUAAUGUCUUCCUGAAAGAGAAAGGCAUCUGUUCUUUGGGUGCAAAGGCUCAUGCUGACAUCCUGAAGCUGGUAGCCACGCUGCUGGUGCUACAGUUGAUGCGAGUGAUGAAGAUGGCAGACGGGGAGCUGUUCCAGUCUCUGUUCCGUCUCAGUGACCACCCUGAGCCCAGGCCAGCCUGCUGGGAGGCAGUGAAGAGGGCAGUGGAGUGGGUGUGCUGGGCAGACAGACAGUACCCAUGUGUGUGCAGCAGGCUGGAGUUUGGCUGGGACUGGGAGUCCUGCACACGCCAACUGCUGGGAUUGGACGCGCUACCCCCCUUCUCACCUCUGAUUCCUGUGCUCCAGAGAAGUACACGCCUGCCAGUCAUGUAGAACCCAGACUUCCAAAUCAGCACAGCUCCUCUGGGCCUUUUAAACUUUUUUUUUAAAGAUAUUUCAAUUAUAUUACAUUACUAACCAAACAAAAUAAAUAUUGGGUGUGGAUAGAUCAGAGUAUUGUACUCAGCUGGCCACUCCAGUGGUCACUAUGACAAAUUAGGAAUUGCUGAAAAAACCUCUUGGAUUAUUAAAGUAGGUUGAAGAAACAACACAUAUUCGUAUUAAUUCUAAUUGCUGAUACAGCAUUCACUUAAAUCAGUUUCAGUGUAAUUACCAAUUUGAAUAUUUACAUAGAAAAUGUUCCCCUUUUGUCUCAUGACUGUGACAGAAGUUAUUGUUAUUGAUCCUCUUCUUCAUCUUCAUCAUCUUCUUCUUUUUCUUAUUUUUGUUCUUCAUUCCCACCACCUACUGAACUGAUGUAUUGUGAGCAUUGAGGAUGGAACUUGAUUGAUGGGAACAUCAUUAAAUAAAAAAUACAGUAGUGUUCAUUUGUGGUUGCGACCAGCCUGGAGAACAUAAGCAGCAGCAGAUGGAGGAGUGCUCAGAAACACCAGACACCAGUGGUCAGCGUGCAGUAUGUGUGGAGCUGCCUGGAGAAAGGACUGCUGCUGCCUGUCCAAGAGCAUGUCUUAGAGCCACAAACUCCACACCCUGGUAUUACACCCUUG